rnacentral:rRNA from 1 species
CGGGGGGAGCAAGCGUUGUUCGGAUUUACUGGGCGUAAAGGGCGCGUAGGCGGUCAGCACAAGUCAGUUGUGAAAUCUCCGGGCUUUACUCGGAAAGGUCAACUGAUACUGUGCGACUAGAGUGCAGAAGGGGCAACUGGAAUUCUCGGUGUAGCGGUGAAAUGCGUAGAUAUCGAGAGGAACACCUGCGGCGAAGGCGGGUUGCUGGGCUGACACUGACGCUGAGGCGCGAAAGCCAGGGGAGCGAACGGGAUUAGACACCCCGGUAGUCCUGGCCUUAAACGAUGGAUGCUUGGUGUCUGGAGUUAUAUAGUCUCCGGGUGCCGCAGCUAACGCGUUAAGCAUCCCGCCUGGGGAGUACGGUCGCAAGACUG